GAUGAAGAACGUAGCGAAAUGCGAUAAGUAAUGUGAAUUGCAGAAUUCAGUGAAUCAUCGAAUCUUUGAACGCACCUUGCGCUCCUUGGUAUUCCGAGGAGCAUGCCUGUUUGAGUGUCAUUAAAUCCUCAACCUUUCCAGCUUUUGCGAGUUUGGAUUGGCUUGGAUGUGGAGGUUUGCAGGCUUCUCAGAAGUCAGCUCCUCUUAAAUGCAUUAGCGGAACCUUUGUGGACCAGCUUUGGUGUGAUAAUUAUCUAUGCCAUGGUUGUGAAGCAGUUUUUAUAUGGGGUUCAGCUUCUAACAGUCCAUUGACUUGGACAAUUUCUGACAUUUUGACCUCAAAUCAGGUAGGACUACCCGCUGAACUUAAGCAUAUCAAUAAGCGGAGGA
rnacentral:misc_RNA from 1 species